rnacentral:rRNA from 1 species
CCUACGGGAGGCAGCGGUGAGGAAUAUUGGUCAAUGGCCGGAAGGCUGAACCAGCCAAGCCGCGUGAAGGACGAAGGUGCCAAGCAUUGUAAACUUCUUUUGUCAAGGGACAAAAUCAGGCUCGAGAGCCUGACCGAGGGUACUUGAAGAAAAAGCAUCGGCUAACUCCGUGCCAGCAGCCGCGGUAAUACGUAGGAGGCAAGCGUUAUCCGGAAUGACGGGGCGUAAGGGGUGCGUAGGUGGUUUGACAAGUUGGUAGCGUAACUCCGGAGCUCAACUUCGGAACUACUACCAAAACUGUUGGACGCGAGUGCAGGAGGGGCAACUGGAAUUUCUAGUGUAGCGGUGGAAUGCGUAGAUAUUAGGAAGAACACCGGUGGCGAAGGCGAGUUGCUGGACUGUAACUGACACUGAGGCACGAAAGCGUGGGGAGCAAACAGGAUUAGAUACCCGAGUAGUC